rnacentral:rRNA from 1 species
AGAGUUUGAUCCUGGCUCAGGAUGAACGCUGGCGGCGUGCCUAAUACAUGCAAGUCGAACGCGAGCACUUGUGCUCGAGUGGCGAACGGGUGAGUAAUACAUAAGUAACCUGCCCUAGACAGGGGGAUAACUAUUGGAAACGAUAGCUAAGACCGCAUAGGUACGGACACUGCAUGGUGACCGUAUUAAAAGUGCCUCAAAGCACUGGUAGAGGAUGGACUUAUGGCGCAUUAGCUGGUUGGCGGGGUAACGGCCCACCAAGGCGACGAUGCGUAGCCGACCUGAGAGGGUGACCGGCCACACUGGGACUGAGACACGGCCCAGACUCCUACGGGAGGCAGCAGUAGGGAAUUUUCGGCAAUGGGGGAAACCCUGACCGAGCAACGCCGCGUGAAGGAAGAAGGUUUUCGGAUUGUAAACUUCUGUUAUAAAGGAAGAACGGCGGCUACAGGAAAUGGUAGCCGAGUGACGGUACUUUAUUAGAAAGCCACGGCUAACUACGUGCCAGCAGCCGCGGUAAUACGUAGGUGGCAAGCGUUAUCCGGAAUUAUUGGGCGUAAAGAGGGAGCAGGCGGCAGCAAGGGUCUGUGGUGAAAGCCUGAAGCUUAACUUCAGUAAGCCAUAGAAACCAGGCAGCUAGAGUGCAGGAGAGGAUCGUGGAAUUCCAUGUGUAGCGGUGAAAUGCGUAGAUAUAUGGAGGAACACCAGUGGCGAAGGCGACGAUCUGGCCUGCAACUGACGCUCAGUCCCGAAAGCGUGGGGAGCAAAUAGGAUUAGAUACCCUAGUAGUCCACGCCGUAAACGAUGAGUACUAAGUGUUGGAUGUCAAAGUUCAGUGCUGCAGUUAACGCAAUAAGUACUCCGCCUGAGUAGUACGUUCGCAAGAAUGAAACUCAAAGGAAUUGACGGGGGCCCGCACAAGCGGUGGAGCAUGUGGUUUAAUUCGAAGCAACGCGAAGAACCUUACCAAGUCUUGACAUCCUCCUGACCGGUCAGUAACGUGACCUUUCCUUCGGGACAGGGGAGACAGGUGGUGCAUGGUUGUCGUCAGCUCGUGUCGUGAGAUGUUGGGUUAAGUCCCGCAACGAGCGCAACCCUUAUCGUUAGUUACCAUCAUUAAGUUGGGGACUCUAGCGAGACUGCCAGUGACAAGCUGGAGGAAGGCGGGGAUGACGUCAAAUCAUCAUGCCCCUUAUGACCUGGGCUACACACGUGCUACAAUGGAUGGUGCAGAGGGAAGCGAAGCCGCGAGGUGAAGCAAAACCCAUAAAACCAUUCUCAGUUCGGAUUGUAGUCUGCAACUCGACUACAUGAAGUUGGAAUCGCUAGUAAUCGCGAAUCAGCAUGUCGCGGUGAAUACGUUCCCGGGCCUUGUACACACCGCCCGUCACACCACGAGAGUUGAUAACACCCGAAGCCGGUGGCCUAACCGCAAGGAAGGAGCUGUCUAAGGUGGGAUUGAUGAUUGGGGUGAAGUCGUAACAAGGUAUCCCUACGGGAACGUGGGGAUG